rnacentral:rRNA from 1 species
UACGUAGGGGGGCAAGCGUUGUCCGGAUUUAUUGGGCGUAAAGAGCGUGUAGGCGGCCAUGUAGGUCCGUUGUGAAAACUCGAGGCUCAACCUCGAGACGCCGAUGGAAACCAUGUGGCUAGAGUCCGGAAGAGGAGAGUGGAAUUCCUGGUGUAGCGGUGAAAUGCGCAGAUAUCAGGAAGAACACCCGUGGCUAAGGCGGCUCUCUAGGCCUUACCUGACGCUGAGGAGCGAAAGCAUGGGGGAGCAAACAGG